CUCACAGGGAGUAGAGUGUGUAGGGGAUGUGUUAUGUGUUACUGUAGAGGAUCUAAUGUGUGUGCUUAUGGAAUGUAGUGUAUAGGGAUACCAGUUUGUGUAGGUGAUGCAGUGUGUUUGUGUGUAAGGGAUAGAAAGCAGUGAGUGUUUGUGUAUACGGGAUGUAUUGUGUGUUUGUCUGUAAGGGGUGCGUUGAGUGUGUGUAAGAGAUGCAUUGUGUUUCUGUGUGUGUGUAAGAGAAGCAGUGUGUGUUUGCAUAUGUGUGUAAGGGAUGCAUUGUGUGUUUCUGUGUAUGUGUGCAAAGGAUGCAUUGUCUUUGUCUAAGGGUUGCAUUGUGUGUUUCUCUGUGUGUAAGGGAAGCAUGUUGUGUUUCUGUGUGUAUAGGGAUGCAUUGUGUGUGUGUGUGUGCGCGUGGUGUGAAAGAGCUCCCUGUCCUGCCCCCUGUCCUAUAGAGCUCUCCCUUAGAGAUCUCCCCCGCCCCUUAGUGGUCUCUCCUCUCCCC